rnacentral:rRNA from 1 species
GACGUAGGGCGCGAGCGUUGUCCGGAUUUAUUGGGCGUAAAGAGCUCGUAGGCGGCUUGUCGCGUCGUCCGUGAAAACCUGCGGCUCAACUGCAGGCUGGCGGUCGAUACGGGCAGGCUGGAGUUCGGUAGGGGAGACUGGAAUUCCUGGAUGUAGCGGUGAAAUGCGCAGAUAUCAGGAGGAACACCGGUGGCGAAGGCGGUGGUCUGGGCCGGCACUGACGCUGGAG